rnacentral:lncRNA from 1 species
CUGUCCCUGCCUAUACUCCCUUGGCCCUCUUGGAGCUCACCGGCAGAGAAGUUCCUUUACCUACUAGAUGCUUCCUGCAUCUCUCUGCCCUAGGGUGUUUUCCGGCUACCGAAGUGUGUUCUGUCAGAACACAGAGCAGGCUGGAAGCACUAAGGAGUUAAUGCGUCCAGAAGCAACCCUCAGCCACUGAUCUUCAGAAAGGGAUUUGGCGUGAUGGUACAGCUGGGACCCUGGAACCUCUGCUUCCUCAGUUUAGGUAAUUGGUGCAGCAGGGAAGGUGUUAUUGGACCAACGGGAAGACACUCCUUCCCGGAAAUCUCCAGCAACUUUCAAGUGUGCUUAGCCACAAGGGAUGAUGGGAAAUGAGUCUAUGGCAUUUCAAGCCUCCAUCGUGGAAGCAGGCUCCGCCCAUAGGACGCAGGGGAUAAAACUGGCUGUGGGUAGACAACUGAACAGUAUCUACUCCACAGCUUGCCAAGUUCCAGUUUUUAUCUGAUCAUCUUUGCAUCAAUAAUACAUGAGGCUGAGAUCUUCUGAAAAGAGGAUACUUUUUCUUCCCCC